ACAGAAUUUAGUUGCCUAUUGGCUUAGAUCAAGUGUAGUAUCUGUUCUUUUCAGUUUAAUCUCUGAAAGUCUUCUACGGAAGACACAUUGAUUAUACUUAUUUUUGUCAAAGGGCUCUUGCCUCUGAGCUUGCUUAUGCUUGGGCCCACUGUGUCAUCGGUAUUACACUGCAUCCGAUUGACGCGAACUUUUC
rfam:Blumeria graminis f. sp. hordei DH14, WGS project CATH01000000 data, contig: 002618